rnacentral:rRNA from 1 species
GACGAACGCUGGCGGCGUGCCUAAUACAUGCAAGUAGAACGCUGAAGAGAGGAGCUUGCUCUUCUUGGAUGAGUUGCGAACGGGUGAGUAACGCGUAGGUAACCUGCCUUGUAGCGGGGGAUAACUAUUGGAAACGAUAGCUAAUACCGCAUAACAAUGGAUGACCCAUGUCAUUUAUUUGAAAGGGGCAAAUGCUCCACUACAAGAUGGACCUGCGUUGUAUUAGCUAGUAGGUGAGGUAACGGCUCACCUAGGCGACGAUACAUAGCCGACCUGAGAGGGUGAUCGGCCACACUGGGACUGAGACACGGCCCAGACUCCUACAGGAGGCAGCAGUAGGGAAUCUGCGGCAAUGGGGGCAACCCUGACCGAGCAACGCCGCGUGAGUGAAGAAGGUUUUCGGAUCGUAAAGCUCUGUUGUAAGUCAAGAACGAGUGUGAGAGUGGAAAGUUCACACUGUGACGGUAGCUUACCAGAAAGAGACGGCUAACUACGUG